rnacentral:rRNA from 1 species
GACGAACGCUGGCGGCGUGCCUAACACAUGCAAGUCGAGCGGAGUCGAUCGACGGAAGCCUUCGGGCGGAAGAUGGUUGACUUAGCGGCGGAUGGGUGAGUAACGCGUGGGCAACCUGCCUCGAAGACCGGGAUAACAGACCGAAAGGGCUGCUAAUACCGGAUGUGGUCAAGGAUCCGCAUGGAUCUUUGAUUAAAGGGGAAACCCGUUUCGAGAUGGGCCCGCGUCCUAUCAGCUAGUUGGUGAGGUAACGGCUCACCAAGGCAACGACGGGUAGCCGGCCUGAGAGGGUGGUCGGCCACACUGGGACUGAGACACGGCCCAGACUCCUACGGGAGGCAGCAGUGGGGAAUCUUCCGCAAUGGGCGAAAGCCUGACGGAGCGACGCCGCGUGGGUGAAGAAGGCCUUCGGGUCGUAAAGCCCUGUCUAGGGGGACGAUAAUGACGGUACCCGUGGAGGAAGCACCGGCUAACUCCGUGCCAGCAGCCGCGGUAAUAC